UAUUCCUAUCACAUCAAUUAAUGGGAAAAGUACUAAAUCUUCAAAGAAGGGAAGAUCAGCUGGGAAUAAAAGCAAAAGAAGAAAUAGAUGGAACAUUUCACGCAACCACGACCUCAAAUUCGUUUAAUAAGCAAAGAUGGUGGAGAAACAAUCAAAUCAUCAAAUGAAGGCAAAAACCCUACGCCAGCCAACAGAAGUGGAGGCAAAACGUAACGAUUAAUAGGAGAGGAAAAUACGCACCUGACACAAUGUGAGGAGCAACAUGAAACGUAAAUCAGCAUAAAACCUGAAGCAAGACAAAUCAAUUCAAAUAGUUAUAAAUUGCGUAGAUUAUAAAUUGCGUAGAUUGUUACUGAAUUAUCAUACCGCUCCGAUAAGUCUGAUAUUAACGUUAAUACUA